CUCCUUUGACGUUAGCGGCGGACGGGUGAGUAACACGUGGGUAACCUACCUAUAAGACUGGGAUAACUUCGGGAAACCGGAGCUAAUACCGGAUAAUAUUUCGAACCGCAUGGUUCGAUAGUGAAAGGUGGUUUUGCUACCACUUAUAGAUGGACCCGCGCCGUAUUAGCUAGUUGGUAAGGUAACGGCUUACCAAGGCGACGAUACGUAGCCGACCUGAGAGGGUGAUCGGCCACACUGGAACUGAGACACGGUCCAGACUCCUACGGGAGGCAGCAGCU
rnacentral:rRNA from 1 species